CCUACGGGUGGCAGCAGUGGGGAAUAUUGGGCAAUGGGCGCAAGCCUGACCCAGCAACGCCGCGUGAAGGAAGAAGGCUUUCGGGUUGUAAACUUCUUUUGUCAGGGACGAAGCAAGUGACGGUACCUGACGAAUAAGCCACGGCUAACUACGUGCCAGCAGCCGCGGUAAUACGUAGGGGGCAAGCGUUAUCCGGAUUGAUUGGGUGUAAAGGGCGGGUAGGCGGGAAUGCAAGUCAGAUGUGAAAACUAUGGGCUUAACCCAUAGCCUGCAUUUGAAAAUGUAUUUCUUGAGUGCUGUAGAGGCAAGCGGAAUUCCGGGUGUAGCGGUGAAAUGCGUAGAUAUUCGGAGGAACAUCAGUGGCGAAGGCGGAUUUCUGGACAGUAACUGACGCUGAGGCGCGAAAGCGUGGGGAGCAAACAGGAUUAGAUACCCGUGUAGUC
rnacentral:rRNA from 1 species